rnacentral:rRNA from 1 species
AGCGAACGCUGGCGGCGGGCCUAACACAUGCAAGUCGAACGAAGUCUUCGGACUUAGUGGCGGACGGGUGAGUAACACGUGGGAACGUACCUUUUGGUUCGGAACAACUCAGGGAAACUUGAGCUAAUACCGGAUGAGCCCUUAGGGGGAAAGAUUUAUCGCCGAAAGAGCGGCCCGCGUUAGAUUAGCUAGUUGGUGAGGUAAAGGCUCACCAAGGCUACGAUCUAUAGCUGGUCUGAGAGGAUGAUCAGCCACACUGGGCCUGAGACACGGCCCAGACUCCUACGGGAGGCAGCAGUGGGGAAUCUUGCGCAAUGGGCGAAAGCCUGACGCAGCCAUGCCGCGUGAAUGAUGAAGGUCUUAGGAUUGUAAAAUUCUUUUACCAGGGACGAUAAUGACGGUACCUGGAGAAAAAGCCCCGGCUAACUUCGUGCCAGCCGCCGCUGUAAAAC